CAAUAGCGUAUAUUAAAGUUGUUGCAGUUAAAAAGCUCGUAGUUGGAUUUGUGGCGUACGGUGUGUUCCGGGCACUUGUUGUCUGAGUAACCUGCUGUUGCCAUCCUUGGGUGGAACCUGUGUGGCAUUAGGUUGUCGUGCAGGGGAUGCCCAUCAUUUACUGUGAAAAAAGUAGAGUGUUCAAAGCAGGCUUAUGCCGUUGAAUAUAUUAGCAUGGAAUAAUGAGAUAGGACUUUUUUGCUAUUUUGUUGGUUUGCGCAAAGAGGUAAUGAUUAAUAGGGACAGUUGGGGGUAUUCGUAUUCCAUUGUCAGAGGUGAAAUUCUUGGAUUUUUGGAAGACGAACUACUGCGAAAGCAUUUACCAAGGAUGUUUUCAUUAA
rnacentral:rRNA from 1 species